AUUAAGUGAAAGAGAGGGAGAGAAACCCCAGGUCUGGACAAGCCUCCAUAAACAAAACGGAAAAAAGGGAGCUUUCUGGCAAGAAUCCCCAGUGUCCCCAGAGUAUCCGGGCAUUUUCUCAGGAUUAUCCAAGUAACUCUGGGAAAAGCAAAGCUGCGGGGGCUAAAUUACUCACAAACUAAGAUUUCAAUCAAAAUUUACCUGACUCUGGAGAGCAAGCCAAGGACAAGGAUGCUAUGUGGGUCUAGCAGUAAUAUACAGAAGACCCUUGACUUACGAACUUCAUCGGUCCCCGAGGGCUGGUUGUAACUCAAGCUGGUUGUAAUGCCUCCGCCACUCAGCAAGCCCUUCCGGGAUCCACAGACAAGACAGCGGGGCUUCCACAGACAGGAUGUGAGCACAGCACCGGCUCUUCGUGGGCUCCCAGCUCUUCCCCUGCAUUUCUGCAGUCCAUUCUCUCCUACCAUUCUACCGGGCUACAAGGCCUACCUUAAGCCUUUCCCACUUUCUCAAGACUUCCAAUCAUUCCUUCAUCCGGCUGCCUUUGAUACAUGCAGAACUCUAACUUUUCAAAGAAAACCAAGUCGGUUUAACGGGAACUAUUUCUACCCAAUCUAUGUUUUUCCUACAGGCAUCCACCUGCUUUCUAUCCAAGUGUAGCCUCCCUCCGAGAGUGCUGUCCAUCUCACCCUCCCUGCCUGAACCAGUGAGGAAAUGCACCUAAAACACUCCCUUCCUUAUACAGUAUAUUCAGUAACUUCCUAUAAGCUGGAUCCUACCUUUAGUUUCUCCCAUGUUUAAAAAAUGAGGUCAAACUUCUCUCAAUAAUCCAUCUUUUUUCCUUCAUCAUUACAUUUCUUGAAGGUUUUGUUUAUAUUCCCUAUUGCCUCCCUCCCUUCCUAGUUAUCUGCAAUCUACUCCCCUUUGGGUUUCAUCACCAUCACUCUACAGACAUAACUAGAACCUCUGUGUGUCACUUAUCCUCACCCAAACACACAGCAUGUUGAUUGAUUAUUAUUGCUUUUUCUUAUUCUUAUUCUUUUUCUUUUGUGGUAGUGGGGAUUGAACCCAGGACCUUACACUGAUCCACAUCUCCAGCUCUUAUUUAUUUAUUUAUUUAUUUAUUUUUGAGACAGGAUCUCUCUAGAUCACUAAGUUGCCCAACCUGGACUCAAACAUGUGAUCCUCCUGCUUUAGCCUCCCAGAGUUCUGGGAUUAUAGGUAUGUGCCACUUCCCCUGACUAUUGGUUCCUUCUUCAAAUAUCCUCCUCUCUUGGCUUUCAGACACUGGUGUGUGACAUCUAGGAACACAACUUUUGGAGAUGUUGUCCGUUUCCCUCCUGAUUCCCUGGCCUCAUUAACUCAUUGCUGAUUCCUCUCCCAUAUCCAGUUGGAUUUUUUAUAUAUGUACUAAUAUAUGUGCAUCCAUUUGCUUCAGAAAACAUGUUCUAAUUUUUCAUUAUAUUUUUAUGAAUGUGAUUACUUAACGAAAAUGUGUCUUCCCCAUCUCUCUAGGCUCUAAAUUCUAAGAACACUUCACCGUUAUGUUCCCAGUGCUGAUCCAGUUCAAAUUCUAGCACAUUUGACAAAAUUGACAUUUGUUGAAUUAAUAAGUGGCUGAAUUAGUAUUUCAUACCUUUUAGAGGGCUGAGCUAGAAAAUAAUAAGACACAGACAGCAACCUCUGGCCUUUAUCUCAGUACCUGUAACACCACAAUAAAAAUUAUCCUUUUUACUAAAUACUUAG
rnacentral:lncRNA from 1 species